UAACCCCCCACAUUGGUACUGAGACACGGACCAUACUCCUACGGGAGGCAGCAGUGAGGAAUAGUGGCCAAUGGACGCAGAGUCUGAACCAGCCAUGCCGCGUGCAGGAAGACGGCUCUAUGAGAUGUAAACUUCUUUUGUGCGAGGAUAAACGCUGAUACGGUAUCUUCUGAAAGUAUCGAUACGAAUAAGGAUCGGCUAACUCCG
rnacentral:rRNA from 1 species